CCAGCUGGAGGCAGCCGGUUUGGCAGCUGUAGGAAGGAUUGUAAUCUUGCUCCAUUCCCAUUUCCUGAGUUGGUUUUCCACAGAAUCAAAAUGAUGGAGCGAAAAACAGAUUAACAUGGAGGACCCUUCUGGCCGAAGAGGACUUUUAUUUCCUCUUUGCAUUAAAAAGAAGAAGAAAGAAGAGUAUAGAUGAUAAGGUGAUGGGUUGGUAGUUACCUGGAUCCUCCUUUCCCCUCCUUAUUGAAGAUGGGGACAACAUUUGCCCACCUCCAGUCUUCCAGCAGAUGAUGCAAAAGAGAUCUUGAAGAGCCACUGCUAGACGUAUGAUACCAACCUUGAUAGAUCAACAGCCUGAACAGUAGAAACAGCAGCUUCAUGUGAUGGUGGUGGUGAUUAAGGGGAAGAUCAUGGCUCAAUGCAUCAGUUCUGCAUGGAGAAGGUCCCAAGUUCAAUCUCCAGGUUCAAGUCCUAGCAUAUCUACUUAGAAGGAUCAGGUAGCAAGUGAUACAAAGGACCUCAACCUCAGUCACUGGAACCUCCUGUCCAUCAGACUAGAUGAUACUGACCUUGAUAGACCAAUGACACAAUUCUGUCUAAAGCACUUCCAUGCAUUUGAUGUAAUUAAAAAGUAUAAAAAUGUUAUAGAACACACUGCUGUUGGAAAUGUUUUCCUUAUUAAUGUUUUUCCUCAGUUUUAUUUUAAAGGGGAGAAGAAAACCCUAGUUGGGGGAAUUUGUGCUCUGGGAUUUGACAGCUUUUGUUAGGAUAUUCUCAACAAUGAAAACUUCUGUUUAUUCAAGAUUCCAGAUGCAAAUACUUUGAAGGGAAGUUAGUUUUUAUCCCAAUGGGGAUUUACACUUGGAGCUUUCAACAUCCAUCUUUUGAGAGGAAGAGAUGAACUAUAAUGAAGUAGUUCAUGGUACAAUUAAAAUGAUGUAGGAAAACAGCAACAUGA